rnacentral:lncRNA from 1 species
CACACCCUCACCCACCAAUCCAUCCCCGUCCCCGACGUCCACUGGUCGGGCCGGGUCUGGGCCCGUACCGGCUGCACCUACUCCGGCACCGCCUUUUCCUGCUCCAGCGGAGACUGCGGCGGCCGUCUCCAGUGCAACGGUGCUGGUGGCGCCGCCCCCGCCUCCUUGGCGCAGGUGGAGGCCCACCACGGCAACGGCGACUACGUCUCCUACAGCGUGAGCCUCGUGGACGGUUUUAACGUCCCCAUGACCGUGACCCCGCACGAGGGCAAAGGCGUGUGCCCGGUGGUUGGUUGCCGCGCCGAGUUGCUGGCCACGUG